rnacentral:rRNA from 1 species
CGGUUAAGUUAGAAAGGGCGCACGGUGGAUGCCUUGGCACUAGGAGCCGAUGAAGGACGGGACGAACACCGAUAUGCUUCGGGGAGCUGUAAGCAAGCUUUGAUCCGGAGAUUUCCGAAUGGGGAAACCCACCACUCGUAAUGGAGUGGUAUCCAUAUCUGAAUACAUAGGAUAUGAGAAGGCAGACCCGGGGAACUGAAACAUCUAAGUACCCGGAGGAAGAGAAAGCAAAUGCGAUUCCCUGAGUAGCGGCGAGCGAAACGGGACCAGCCCAAACCAAGAGGCUUGCCUCUUGGGGUUGUAGGACACUCUGUACGGAGUUACAAAGGAACGAGGUAGAUGAAGAGGUCUGGAAAGGCCCGCCAUAGAAGGUAACAGCCCUGUAGUCAAAACUUCGUUCUCUCCUGAGUGGAUCUGAGUACGGCGGAACACGUGAAAUUCCGUCGGAAUCCGGGAGGACCAUCUCCCAAGGCUAAAUACUCCCUAGUGACCGAUAGUGAACCAGUACCGUGAGGGAAAGGUGAAAAGCACCCCGGAAGGGGAGUGAAAGAGAUCCUGAAACCGUGUGCCUACAAGUAGUCAGAGCCCGUUAACGGGUGAUGGCGUGCCUUUUGUAGAAUGAACCGGCGAGUUACGAUCCCGUGCAAGGUUAAGCAGAAGAUGCGGAGCCGCAGCGAAAGCGAGUCUGAAUAGGGCGAAUUGAGUACGUGGUCGUAGACCCGAAACCAGGUGAUCUACCCAUGUCCAGGGUGAAGUUCAGGUAACACUGAAUGGAGGCCCGAACCCACGCACGUUGAAAAGUGCGGGGAUGAGGUGUGGGUAGGGGUGAAAUGCCAAUCGAACCUGGAGAUAGCUGGUUCUCUCCGAAAUAGCUUUAGGGCUAGCCUCAAGGUAAGAGUCUCGGAGGUAGAGCACUGAUUGGACUAGGGGCCCCUACCGGGUUACCGAAUUCAGUCAAACUCCGAAUGCCGAUGACUUAUCCUUGGGAGUCAGACUGCGAGUGAUAAGAUCCGUAGUCGAAAGGGAAACAGCCCAGACCGCCAGCUAAGGUCCCAAAGUAUACGUUAAGUGGAAAAGGAUGUGGAGUUGCUUAGACAACCAGGAUGUUGGCUUAGAAGCAGCCACCAUUUAAAGAGUGCGUAAUAGCUCACUGGUCGAGUGACUCUGCGCCGAAAAUGUACCGGGGCUAAACGUAUCACCGAAGCUGCGGACUGUUCUUCGAACAGUGGUAGGAGAGCGUUCUAAGGGCUGUGAAGCAAGACCGGAAGGACUUGUGGAGCGCUUAGAAGUGAGAAUGCCGGUAUGAGUAGCGAAAGAGGGGUGAGAAUCCCCUCCACCGAAUGCCUAAGGUUUCCUGAGGAAGGCUCGUCCGCUCAGGGUUAGUCGGGACCUAAGCCGAGGCCGAAAGGCGUAGGCGAUGGAUAACAGGUUGAUAUUCCUGUACCACCUCCUCACCAUUUGAGCAAUGGGGGGACGCAGGAGGAUAGGGUAAGCGCGGUAUUGGAUAUCCGCGUCCAAGCAGUUAGGCUGGGAAAUAGGCAAAUCCGUUUCCCGUGAAGGCUGAGCUGUGAUGGCGAGCGAAUUAUAGUAGCGAAGUUCCUGAUUCCACACUGCCAAGAAAAGCCUCUAGCGAGGUGAGAGGUGCCCGUACCGCAAACCGACACAGGUAGGCGAGGAGAGAAUCCUAAGGUGAUCGAGAGAACUCUCGUUAAGGAACUCGGCAAAAUGACCCCGUAACUUCGGGAGAAGGGGUGCUCUGUUAGGGUGCAAGCCCGAGAGAGCCGCAGUGAAUAGGCCCAGGCGACUGUUUAGCAAAAACACAGGUCUCUGCGAAGCCGUAAGGCGAAGUAUAGGGGCUGACGCCUGCCCGGUGCUGGAAGGUUAAGAGGAGCGCUUAGCGUAAGCGAAGGUGCGAAUUGAAGCCCCAGUAAACGGCGGCCGUAACUAUAACGGUCCUAAGGUAGCGAAAUUCCUUGUCGGGUAAGUUCCGACCCGCACGAAAGGCGCAACGAUCUGGGCACUGUCUCAACGAGAGACUCGGUGAAAUUAUAGUACCUGUGAAGAUGCAGGUUACCCGCGACAGGACGGAAAGACCCCGUGGAGCUUUACUGCAGCCUGAUAUUGAAUGUUGGUACAGCUUGUACAGGAUAGGUAGGAGCCUUGGAAACCGGAGCGCCAGCUUCGGUGGAGGCAUCGGUGGGAUACUACCCUGGCUGUAUUGACCUUCUAACCCGCCGCCCUUAUCGGGCGGGGAGACAGUGUCAGGUGGGCAGUUUGACUGGGGCGGUCGCCUCCUAAAAGGUAACGGAGGCGCCCAAAGGUUCCCUCAGAAUGGUUGGAAAUCAUUCGCAGAGUGUAAAGGCACAAGGGAGCUUGACUGCGAGACCUACAAGUCGAGCAGGGACGAAAGUCGGGCUUAGUGAUCCGGUGGUUCCGCAUGGAAGGGCCAUCGCUCAACGGAUAAAAGCUACCCCGGGGAUAACAGGCUUAUCUCCCCCAAGAGUCCACAUCGACGGGGAGGUUUGGCACCUCGAUGUCGGCUCAUCGCAUCCUGGGGCUGUAGUCGGUCCCAAGGGUUGGGCUGUUCGCCCAUUAAAGCGGUACGCGAGCUGGGUUCAGAACGUCGUGAGACAGUUCGGUCCCUAUCCGUCGCGGGCGCAGGAAAUUUGAGAGGAGCUGUCCUUAGUACGAGAGGACCGGGAUGGACGCACCGCUGGUGUACCAGUUGUUCUGCCAAGGGCAUCGCUGGGUAGCUAUGUGCGGACGGGAUAAGUGCUGAAAGCAUCUAAGCAUGAAGCCCCCCUCAAGAUGAGAUUUCCCAUUCCGCAAGGAAGUAAGAUCCCUGAAAGAUGAUCAGGUUGAUAGGUCUGAGGUGGAAGUGUGGCGACACAUGGAGCUGACAGAUACUAAUCGAUCGAGGACUUAACCAAUUU